rnacentral:rRNA from 1 species
AAAUAUAGAGGACAGACCAGAGUGUGUAGCCAUUUUUUUUUUUUUUAUAUAUAUAUUAUUUGUGUGUUAUUGUUAUUUAUUAUUAGUUUUGUUGUAUUUAAUGAUUUUUAAGAUUUUUAUU